rnacentral:rRNA from 1 species
CCUACAGGGGGCAGCAGUGGGGAAUAUUGGACAAUGGGCGAAAGCCUGAUCCAGCCAUGCCGCGUGUGUGAAGAAGGCCUUCGGGUUGUAAAGCACUUUCAGUGGGGAAGAAAGCCUUGGGGCUAAUACCCUCGAGGAAGGACAUCACCCACAGAAGAAGCACCGGCUAACUCCGUGCCAGCAGCCGCGGUAAUACGGAGGGUGCGAGCGUUAAUCGGAAUUACUGGGCGUAAAGCGCGCGUAGGCGGUCUGAUAAGCCGGUUGUGAAAGCCCCGGGCUCAACCUGGGAACGGCAUCCGGAACUGUCAGGCUAGAGUGCAGGAGAGGAAGGUAGAAUUCCCGGUGUAGCGGUGAAAUGCGUAGAGAUCGGGAGGAAUACCAGUGGCGAAGGCGGCCUUCUGGACUGACACUGACGCUGAGGUGCGAAAGCGUGGGUAGCAAACAGGAUUAGAUACCCGGGUAGUC